rnacentral:lncRNA from 1 species
AAACACAUUUUAGAACUUAUACUGAUAGUACUCACCUGAGCACCUUCGAUGGUUUCCAUUUUGCCGCUUUGAGGAAUUGGUCUUUCCCGAGAACUGUGCAUGGUCUCCACUUCGGUUUCAGGAGUGGAUUUGGUCUUGACCGAGAUAGUUUAGUACUGUAAGUUGUCUAGCUACCCGUGUAACGCAAACAGUCGGUCUGCGGUGAGAUUCGAACCAGCAGUCAUUCGGUCAGAAAGGAUGGUAAACUUCUCACUUUUUUCCUUAUAGUUCUCGCAGCUGACGUGUUUUGACGACAGAUGUCAGCACAGAAGGAAACUAAAGGCGUAGGUGGCGCUGUGUUAAGAGUAGAGCAGUUUGAAGUGCUGCGAUUCCAUUUUCGCUUAGGAAAAUAGCAAUUAUUGAUAAAAAUAAAACAUAUAUUUUUCAGUAGAAGAAAUAAUUUUUAAUGAAAAAGAGCCUUACUAUAUGACACGAUGUUUAUCGAUUUUAACAGUUCAAACCACUUUAAAUGGAUAUCCCUAAGGAACAUCUCUAUAAUGCCUCAGUGCUUCCGGCCCUUCCUUUUUCUCGAAAGCACUGCGAAGGCUGCCGGCAGCGUGGUUGUUCCUUUCGCGAGUUGGUGUCUGGCGCACAGCGCGAACGUCUCAUGAGCAAGAAGCCGUAGAGACGAUGCUCUCAAUGUGUGACACCGAAGUGAGGCAACUCAUCGGGCACAACGCCAAAAUGUCCCUGUUGUGUCCUGGCCUGGGUCACGCGUGUCGCGCCUUGACAGCCGUGACCUUGAACGACCUUGACCGGCCGGGCCGGGCCGAGCGGCCGAGGGUCAGUAUCGUCCGAGCGGCGCUGGUGUCAACACAGCUGAGUGCCGCGAGGUGAGGUGAGGCGUGUUCGCCGAGACGGUCCGGCCACAGUGAAAUAGUGAAAUAGUGGUGUAAUCGAUAAUAUGCGUGGCCAGUACGCGAGUGAGAUUGACCCUGUGCGCGACACCGAUUCAGAGACGCACAUAAGUUAACACCGUCGUGUCGGAUCGCUCGUACCGGUGAUGGGAGACAACGAGCAGCUGGAGCGUCUAAUGGCGCUCAUGGUUCAGCAGUCAGCAGGCUGCCAUGCUGGAGUAGCUCCUCCCCAGCCAGAUGUACCAGCUGCGCAAACUGUCUAGAGCGGCCAACCGGCUGUCGUCGCCUCCGCCGCUCCUAUGGCUAGACUUCGGUCUCGCAUGGACUCCCGUCGGUAGUGUUCACAUGCCAGCCCAUACAUUUUACCUGUAUUAACUUUUUAAUGUCUGUGCCUGUGUAACUAUUGUACGUGCCUGUACUUAACAGUGUUUGAAUUGUACAUCGUUCGCACAGUCUGUGGACCGUGGGGAGCGCCGCUUGACAUGCAUUUUUGCACUUACCUGCAUUCCGUGUUAAAAGUAAAGUAAAGGGACUGAGCUGUCGUGCACCGGGAGAUAUUAUGGUCUCUUGCUAAACGACUCAGUUGAAACUCAGCACGCCGGUCGGUACUGACUGGGGCGGCACGCGAAAGGGUUUGGGCAGCUUUUGAAACAAAAUGUUCGCAUCGAAUGACUGCAUCGCAUGU